rnacentral:rRNA from 1 species
CUAGUAUGAAUGGUUUGAUGAAAUAUAUACUUUCUUUACUUUAUAUAUAAAAUUUAACUUUUGGGUUAAAAGGCUUAAAUUAUAUUAAAAGACGAGAAGACCCUAUAGAACUUUAUUAUUAUUAUUAUAUAUAAUAUUUAGCUAUUAUUAUUGUUUUGUAUAAUUUGUAUAAUUGUGUUGGGGUGAUGGGAAAAAAUUAAUAACUUUUUUUUUAUUUAACAUUUAUAUAUGUAUUUUUGAUCCAAAAUUUUUGAUUAUAAGAUUAAGUUACCUUAGGGAUAACAGCGUUAUUACUUUGGAGAGUUCUUAUUAAUAAAGUAGUUUGCGACCUCGAUGUUGGAUUAAAAUAAGUUUUAGGUGUAGCAUUUUAAUGACUAAGUCU